rnacentral:rRNA from 1 species
CGGCGGACGGGUGAGUAACGCGUGGGUAACCCGCCUCAUACAGGGGGAUAACAGUUAGAAAUGACUGCUAAUACCGCAUAAGACCACGGUACCGCAUGGUACAGUGGUAAAAACUCCGGUGGUAUGAGAUGGACCCGCGUCUGAUUAGGUAGUUGGUGGGGUAACGGCCUACCAAGCCGACGAUCAGUAGCCGACCUGAGAGGGUGACCGGCCACAUUGGGACUGAGACACGGCCCAG